rnacentral:rRNA from 1 species
CCUACGGGAGGCAGCAGUGGGGAAUAUUGGGCAAUGGGCGCAAGCCUGACCCAGCAACGCCGCGUGAAGGAAGAAGGCUCUCGGGUUGUAAACUUCUUUUAUCAGGGACGAAGCAAGUGACGGUACCUGAUGAAUACGCCACGGCUAACUACGUGCCAGCAGCCGCGGUAAUACGUAGGUGGCAAGCGUUAUCCGGAUUUGCUGGGUGUAAAGGGCGUGUAGGCGGGAAAGCAAGUCAGAUGUGAAAACCAUGGGCUCAACCGUUGUCCUGCAUUUGAAACUGUUUUUCUUGAGUACUGGAGAGGCAGACGGAAUUCCUAGUGUAGCGGUGAAAUGCGUAGAUAUUAGGAGGAACACCAGUGGCGAAGGCGGUCUGCUGGACAGCAACUGACGCUGAGGCGCGAAAGCGUGGGGAGCAAACAGGAUUAGAUACCCCAGUAGUC